rnacentral:rRNA from 1 species
UAAAGUGGUACGCGAGCUGGGUUUAGAACGUCGUGAGACAGUUCGGUCCCUAUCUGCCGUGGGCGUUGGAGAAUUGAGAGGGGCUGCUCCUAGUACGAGAGGACCGGAGUGGACGCAUCACUGGUGUGCCAGUUGUCUCGCCAGAGGCACUGCUGGGUAGCUAAAUGCGGAAGAGAUAAGUGCUGAAAGCAUCUAAGCACGAAACUCGCCUUAAGAUGAGUUCUCCCAGUCUAUAAGACUGUAAGGGUUGUUGGA